rnacentral:tRNA from 1 species
AGCGAGGUGGCUGAGUGUUAGGCGAUAGAUUGUAAAUCUAUAAACGAAUUUAUUUCUCUCGUUA